ensembl:lncRNA
UUUUUUUUUUUCAGUUUUAGUUUUGAGUAACCCCUUAUGGGUAAAACCUGACUGUUGUAUGGGCUGGCUGUGCUGUGCCCUUACCCCUUCCCUGGGCACUGUCGCACCCGUGGGCAUAGCUGCCAGCUUGGGGGGCGGGGGGAGUGGAGGCACACCCAUGUGGAGUAGGAAAGAGCUCCAGGAUAAUAAUAGUAACCACUGCAGAGGUGUGUGGAGAGAGAUGAAAACUGCCUCCAACGCCCAGCCCAGGACCGGCAUAUAGAGAGGCUGUCUUCCUGCUCCAGGCAACGUGGCUCAGAACCAAGAGAAAUGAGCAAGCUGGAAUACAGGGCUGAACUGGAAACGCCCACGGGCCCCUGACUCAGCAGAGCUGCCUGACCCCUUGAAGAAAGAAGAGCCUUCUAAGCAGUGAGCCCCAGACUCUGAGCUGAGCUUUGUAACAACAGAGAAACAGGACACAGCCACCCAAGAGGGUUUUCAAUCCAGCAAACAUGUUUGUGCUAAUUGAUGCCACACUGUGCCAUCGGAGAUGCCGAAGAUGCUGCGAUGCUCAAGCUUGUCUUCACAGGGGACUCUCCACGGAUCCAGGCAUCCUGAGAUACGGAGCCUGGAUUUUUCUUCUCUACUUCACUGGUCAUUGUGAGAGUCCUGAUCAGUGGUAGCCAUUGUCAUGGUCCUUAGGUGCUGCUGCUGCUGCGGCUGCUGAGUUGCUUCAGUCGUGUCCGACCCUGUGCGACUGCGUUGACAGCAGCCCACCAGGCUCCUCUGUCCCUGGGAUUCUCCAGGUAAGAAUAGUGGAGUGGGUUGCCAUUUCCUUCUCCAAUUCCUGAGAGUAAAAAGUCACUCAGUCGUGUCCGACUCUUAGCGACCCCAUGGACUGUAGCCUACCAGGCUUCUCCAUCCAUGAGAUUUUCCAAGCAAGAGUACUGGAGUGGGUUGCCAUUUCCUUCUCCACCUUAGGUUCUUGUCCUACCUAAUGAAAAUAUUCAAAAGUCUAUCCUUUCAGUUAAAUUCUGGUGCUGAGGAAACACUUUAGAAGAGAUUCUUUGGUCAGGACUCAAAGAGAUUUGUGCUUUGUCAUCCAGGAACCUGCAGCAGGAUUCAAUGAGAUUGAGAGUGAAAAGCAGGUGGAAGAGGGUGUCUCCAGUAUCUCAGGCUUACACUUCCCAUUGCUCUGAGAAAAACUGGAGGCUUGUGAGUAAUUAAUAGCAUUCAAUCCACCAAAUAUUGUGUUUUUGAAAAAGCAGCAUUUAUUGUCUCUUUUAAAAAGUCCUUUAACUCAUGGUGACAGAGACUGCUAUAUGUCCCUUAAUACCCACUUUUCUGUUGUCCUUAGGAAGCUGUGGAGGUGGCUGCCUGCUAAACAGUAUACUUCCCCCAUCCCCUGAAGCUAGGUGUGGCCACAUGACCAGGUUCUGGGUGAGAAGCGAGAAUGGAGAAUGCAAUUUGCAAGCCCUUUCCUGCAGAGACCCUUCACCUUUUUCCUAGCUGCUUGCUCCCUGCUGGCAGGGGUGUAGACAUAUGGCUUCUCCUCCAGCACCCACUUAAACCACUUAAGACUUGGUCUUGGGACUUCCCUGGCAGUGCAAAGGCUAAGACUCCAUGCUUCCAAUGCAAGGGUCACAGGUUCAAUCCCUGGUCAGGGAGCUAAGAUCCCACAUAACUUGCAG